rnacentral:lncRNA from 1 species
ACUUCAAAGAGGUCCAGCCAACCUUUUGGUAAAGAAUACAGUGAUGAGUAAUUAAACUUUCUCCUGUGAUAAAACAAAGGGAGCUAUAAAAAAACCGGCAUCCAGGGGUUUAGGAGUAGAGGCAGCUGCACUUUGAUAAAUAGUAUCACCAUAACAACAGGUAGAAAGGUUAAUAAAUAGUAUCACCAUAACAACAGGUAGAAAGGUUGAUAAAUAGUAUUACCAUAACAACAGGUAGAAAGGUUGAUAAAUAGUAUCACCAUAACAACAGGUAGAAAGGUUGAUAAAUAGUAUCACCAUAACAACAGGUAGAAAGGUUGAUAAAUAGUAUCACCAUAACAACAGGUAGAAAGGUUGAUAAAUAGUAUCACCAUAACAACAGGUAGAAAGGUUGAUAAAUAAUAUCACCAUAACAACAGGUAGAAAGGUUGACUGCACAAUCUGCUUCCUGUUGACUAGGGAGACAAGAUCUGUUUCCUGUUGACUGGAGAGAGACAAGAUCUGUUUCCUGUUGACUAGAGAGAGACAAGAUCUGUUUCCUGUUGACUAGAGAGAGACAAGAUCUGUUUCUGUAUAAAAAAAAAGCCCACUUUAAAUCUUAGUUUCUUAUUAACAAGCACAGUUGUAUGUUUUUUAAACAAUAAAUCACUGUCAAUCCAAGUACCAAGGUAUUUGUAUGCAGGGACUCGUUUGAUUCUAGAACCAUCUGAUGAGUAAAGAUGUCAUCCGUCUGAGACAAUCUUACCAGAACUUGAAAACAACAUGUAAGUAGUUUUGCCCGUAUUAAAGCACCAGUUUUAAAUCAGUAAGGACUUCCUGCACAACUGCUAAAUCAGACUGUAGCCUUGUCUCAGCCAGGUCAGCAGGGCGGGUAAUGGGACUGUAGCCUUGUCACAGCCAGGUCAGCAGGGCGGGUAAUGGGACUGUAGCCUUGUCUCAGCCAGGUCAGCAGGGCGGGUAAUGGGACUGUAGUAUUGUCUCAGCCAGGUCAGCAGGGCGGGUAAUGGGACUGUAGUAUUGUCUCAGCCAGGUCAGCAGGGCGGGUAAUGGGACUGUAGCCUUGUCUCAGCCAGGUCAGCAGGGCGGGUAAUGGGACUGUAGUAUUGUCACAGCCAGGUCAGCAGGGCGGGUAAUGGGACUGUAGCCUUGUCACAGCCAGGUCAGCAGGGCGGGUAAUGGGACUGUAGCCUUGUCUCAGCCAGGUCAGCAGGGUGGGUAAUGGGACUGUAGUAUUGUCACAGCCAGGUCAGCAGGGCGGGUAAUGGGACUGUAGCCUUGUCACAGCCAGGUCAGCAGGGCGGGUAAUGGGACUGUAGUAUUGUCUCAGCCAGGUCAGCAGGGCGGGUAAUGGGACUGUAGUCUUGUCUCAGCCAGGUCAGCAGUCUGCUGUAAUUACGUACAUGAAAGUAUCAGUUGUGUAUACAGUUGAAGUCGGAAGUUUACAUUCACUUAGCUAGAGUCAUUAAAACUCGUUUUUCAACCACUCUACAAAUUUCUUGUUAACAAACUAUAGUUUUGGCACGUCGGUUAGGACAUUUACUUUGUGCAUGACACAAGUCAUUUUUCCUUCAAUUGUUUACAGACAGAUUAUUUCACGUAUAAUUCACUGUAUCACAAUUCCAGUGGGUCAGAAGUUUACAUACACUAAGUUGACUGUGCCUUUAAACAGCCUGGAAAAUUCCAG